rnacentral:ncRNA from 3 species
CAACUCUUAGCGGUGGAUCACUCGGCUCGU